UACGUAGGGUGCAAGCGUUGUCCGGAAUUAUUGGGCGUAAAGAGCUCGUAGGCGGUCUGUCGCGUCGGCUGUGAAAACCCGGGGCUCAACCCCGGGCCUGCAGUCGAUACGGGCAGACUAGAGUGUGGUAGGGGAGACUGGAAUUCCUGGUGUAGCGGUGAAAUGCGCAGAUAUCAGGAGGAACACCGGUGGCGAAGGCGGGUCUCUGGGCCAUAACUGACGCUGAGGCGCGAAAGCUAGGGGAGCAAACAGG
rnacentral:rRNA from 1 species